rnacentral:rRNA from 1 species
AACGAACGCUGGCGGCGUGCCUAACACAUGCAAGUCGUGCGAGAAAGUUCCUUCGGGAGCGAGUAAAGCGGCGCACGGGUGAGUAACACGUAGGUAACCUGCCCCCCAGUCUGGAACAACUAGAGGAAACUCUAGCUAAUGCCGGAUGAGACCACGAUCCCUUCGGGGGUUGCGGCCAAAGAUGGCCUCUACUUGUAAGCUAUCGCUGAGGGAUGGGCCUGCGGGCCAUUAGCUUGUUGGUGAGGUAACGGCUCACCAAAGGCUGUGAUGGCUAGCUGGUCUGAGAGGAUGACCAGCCACACUGGGACUGAGACACGGCCCAGACUCCUACGGGAGCAGCAGUGGGGAAUAUUGCGCAAUGGGCGAAAGACCUGACGCAGCGACGCCGCGUGGG